rnacentral:rRNA from 1 species
UACGUAGGGUGCGAGCGUUGUCCGGAAUUAUUGGGCGUAAAGAGCUCGUAGGCGGUCUGUCGCGUCGAUCGUGAAAACUUGGGGCUUAACCCUGAGCUUGCGGUCGAUACGGGCAUGACUGGAGUUCGGCAGGGGAGACUGGAAUUCCUGGUGUAGCGGUGAAAUGCGCAGAUAUCAGGAGGAACACCGGUGGCGAAGGCGGGUCUCUGGGCCGAUACUGACGCUGAGGAGCGAAAGCGUGGGGGGCGAACAGG